AGAACGAACGCUGGCGGCAUGCCUAACACAUGCAAGUCGAACGAGACCUUCGGGUCUAGUGGCGCACGGGUGCGUAACGCGUGGGAAUCUGCCCUUGGGUUCGGGAUAACAGUUGGAAACGACUGCUAAUACCGGAUGAUGACUUCGGUCCAAAGAUUUAUCGCCCAGGGAUGAGCCCGCGUAGGAUUAGCUAGUUGGUGAGGUAAAGCUCACCAAGGCGACGAUCCUUAGCUGGUCUGAGAGGAUGAUCAGCCACACUGGGACUGAGACACGGCCCAGACUCCUACGGGGAGGCAGCAGGUGGGGAAUA
rnacentral:rRNA from 1 species